rnacentral:rRNA from 1 species
UACAGAGGUCUCAAGCGUUGUUCGGAAUCAUUGGGCGUAAAGCGCGCGUAGGCGGCUCGAUCAGUCUGCUGUAAAAGUCAAAGGCUCAACCUUUGAAUGCCGGUGGAUACUGUCGGGCUAGAGUCCGGAAGAGGCGAGUGGUAUUCCUGGUGUAGCGGUGGAAUGCGCAGAUAUCAGGAGGAACACCAACGGCGAAGGCAGCUCGCUGGGACGGUACUGACGCUAAGGCGCGAAAGCGUGGGGAGCAAACAGG